GAUGAUAUAGAUCACUGGUAGAAUGUGUGCUUGCCAUGCACGAGGUCCUGGGUUCAAUCCUCAGUACCUCUA
rnacentral:tRNA from 1 species